rnacentral:rRNA from 1 species
GACGAACGCUGGCGGCGUGCUUAACACAUGCAAGUCGAACGAUGAAGCUAGAGCUUGCUCUGGUGAAUUAGUGGCGAACGGGUGAGUAACACGUGAGUAACCUGCCCCGAACUCUGGGAUAACUGCUGGAAACGGUAGCUAAUACUGGAUACGACCUACGAAGGCAUCUUCUGUAGGUGGAAAGAAUUUCGGUUCGGGAUGGACUCGCGGCCUAUCAGCUUGUUGGUGAGGUAAGGGCUCACCAAGGCGACGACGGGUAGCCGGCCUGAGAGGGUGACCGGCCACACUGGGACUGAGACACGGCCCAGACUCCUACGGGAGGCAGCAGUGGGGAAUAUUGCACAAUGGGCGCAAGCCUGAUGCAGCAACGCCGCGUGAGGGAUGACGGCCUUCGGGUUGUAAACCUCUUUUAGUAGGGAAGAAGCGAAAGUGACGGUACCUGCAGAAAAAGCACCGGCUAACUACGUGCCAGCAGCCGCCGUAA